CCUACGGGAGACAGCAGUAGGGAAUAUUGCUCAAUGGGGGAAACCCUGAAGCAGCAACGCCGCGUGGAGGAUGAGGGUUUUCGGAUUGUAAACUCCUUUUGUUAGAGAAGAUAAUGACGGUAUCUAACGAAUAAGCACCGGCUAACUCCGUGCCUGCACCCGCGGUAAUACGGAGGGUGCAAGCGUUACUCGGAAUCACUGGGCGUAAAGAGCGCGUAGGCGGGAUAGCAAGUCAGAUGUGAAAUCCUAUGGCUUAACCAUAGAACUGCAUUUGAAACUGUUAUUCUAGAGUAUGGGAGAGGUAGGUGGAAUUCUUGGUGUAGGGGUAAAAUCCGUAGAGAUCAAGAGGAAUACUCAUUGCGAAGGCGACCUGCUGGAACAUAACUGACGCUGAUGCGCGAAAGCGUGGGGAGCAAACAGGAUUAGAUACCCUUGUAGUC
rnacentral:rRNA from 1 species